rnacentral:rRNA from 1 species
CGUACACUCCUGCGGGAGGCAGCAGUGGGGAAUAUUGCACAAUGGGCGCAAGCCUGAUGCAGCGACGCCGCGUGGGGGAUGAAGGCCUUCGGGUUGUAAACUCCUUUCGCUAGGGACGAAGCUUUUUUGUGACGGUACCUAGAUAAGAAGCACCGGCUAACUACGUGCCAGCAGCCGCGGUAAUACGUAGGGUGCGAGCGUUGUCCGGAAUUACUGGGCGUAAAGGGCUCGUAGGUGGUUUGUCGCGUCGUCUGUGAAAUUCUGGGGCUUAACUCCGGGCGUGCAGGCGAUACGGGCAUAACUUGAGUGCUGUAGGGGUAACUGGAAUUCCUAGUGUAGCGGUGAAAUGCGCAGAUAUCAGGAGGAACACCGAUGGCGAAGGCAGGUUACUGGGCAGUUACUGACGCUGAGGAGCGAAAGCAUGGGUAGCGAACAGGAUUAGAAACCCCAGUAGUCC